ensembl:lncRNA
ACAUGUCCAAAAGCCGGAGGUAGCUAACAGCUUUAACUCCACCAGGGCUUCCCGGACUGCAUAUAUUUUUUUUAUUUCAUUUUAUCCCCCUUCAUGUCCCUUUCCCAUACGGGCUCCCCUUUAUGUUUGUACUCUGCUUCAACUCCACCUUGGGCCCAACUCUGGAAUGGGUCUGUCUCAGCCCGAUGAUUGGCGUUUGGUUGGUAGCCAGGGACAGCAGGGCUCUAAGAAACUGUUUUAGUGUUUGGAAUACAUUAACGGCCACCGCACUCAAGGUGCCUCGAUGUAGUUGAAGAAGUCAGGCUGCCUUUGACACUCCAUCUUCUUCCAAUAUCUUGUUUGACAUUUGGGAUGCAGAUUUAUUUAUUUCAAUAUUUCCGGAACAUUGAAAUGAAUUGAAUUUAUUCCAUCUAGUUAUUUUCUCCCCCCCGUGCCUCUGCAGUGCAUUAACACAUGGCUCUGUCACUCACAGGCAGUGGCUUUCUCUUGUUAAAAUUGCCUGCUUAUACUUUCGUGGAAAGCAGUUACUAAGCAUCGGGGGCCGUCCGAAUAUGCCGCAGCGUUUUAAUGCCACAUUUGCCAUCAUCGCUUAAUUGCAAACUACUUGUUUAACAGUCCACUAGGUCAUGGAUGAUUCAAAAUUGCUUCAUCUAAAACGACUGCAGUGCCGGUCAAUAAGGGAAGCCACAAUUUAUCUUAAAGCUGCGUUGUCAGAAUUCACAAUGAUGGCCUUGGGUCGAAAUGCUGCUUUAAACGUCCUUGUUCUCGCCACCUGCAUCCCGUAUCUGUUGUGUGUUCACGGGUGUGCCCUUUGCUUAUCUCAAGAACCCAUCUGUGGAUCUACUGCACACCUGGCAGCUGUAUUGCUAGGGGCCAAAGUAAGUGUCAAAGUUGGUGCAAUUCAGAUUGUCAUAAUUGUAACUGUAUUGCCACAGCCUUUAAGGGCGGUGGCUCAAUCACUGCAGUUCACUUAUGCUGCUGGACGCCGGAUACAGUAACGUUACCACCGAACACUUCUUCCCCUCCUCAACGAAGCGAAACAAGCAGUUGUUGCAGAGGCCACUCUGCCCUCGCCGGAUGGGCACGCCUUUCAAGCGUUCAGCUUCUCAGUCACUUUUUUUUGUACGGGUAAGGUUAUGUGAAUAGCAUUUCGCGACUGCAGUCAGAGUUAUGUAUGUUGUGAAGAUGACAUUGUUCAACGCACUGCAGCCAAGGACAGCCUUCCUCAUCCGGUUGGCGCCAUGUGUUUCCCAGCUUUUCGCAGUUGCCGUUGCUGCUUGGCAGGGGGAGAGUGUAUGUGUGGCCAAGUCCCACUGUGAACGACCUCCAUGUCCUCGACCUGACCAGACCUGCCAUCUCUUUAAUGGCUAUUAUAUCUCAGCCCCACUGUUCAUGCUCUCCAGUGGUGCCUUACUUUAUCUCCCUGUCCCUCCUCCUUUGCACUCCCUCUACGUCAAAUUACUGUGUAAUUGGAGUUAUUACACGUCAGCCCGUUUAAGGAAGAUGCAUGUAUUCAUCAAACUUUUUUUUCCACACAACAAACGCAUCAAAUGACAGUAAUCCCAGUGAAAGUGUUUUAAGAAGUGGACUCAUUUGAACAAUCAAAUAGUAACAAUUAGUUAAUUUUAUAGCUAAUCUUUUGUUUCUGGAAAAUAACCACUUCUUAUUUGCCGAAGAUUGCUACGGUGAUAAUGGAGGUAAACACUAGUCAGAGGCCAAUUGUCAAUCAAUGAUGCAUUAACGAAACAUUUUGUUCUUUAAUGUACAUAAGGCAAUCUGUUUUUUCUACCCGCUUUGUGAAUAUCCCAUAUCAGUAACAGCAGCCGGCUGUGGUGAGAGAAAACACAUGCACAUUAAUGCAAAUCAUGUUAAGUGACCACUGUGUUUACAACAGAAACUAGACCAUAACAUUAUGUUGCCAAUACUUGGCAAUUGUGAUUACCAACAGCAAAAUUAUUUUCUCCAUGGUUGGGCAAACGGAUUCACAACAUCAUGAGCUUAAAGAACUCAUUUAAAUAACUGUGACCAUCCAUGGUACAUCCCAUAUUAAAUACAUGUACUGGGAUGCAAAUGAAAUACUGAAGUCUGAUGCAUUUUCAGUAACAGAUGUUUGUAGCGGUCCUACCUUGGUUGAGAAAAAGACACCUCAGAAUGUGGUCGACCUAUUUAGAAAGCAUGUUCAGUUUACUGUCCGCCUACAUUUCGAGUGAUUUAACUAAACUGGUGUUGACACGGCCAGAUGGUAAUAUCAGUUUGCUGCCUCUGAACAUUGAAACUAUUGCAUUGUAAGAAGCUUGGUGAAUUUGGCUGCACUGAUCAGAACGUGAGUUUGCAAUAACUUUUUAUUCUUCCGUUUACAAAAAUAAAAAAUUGAAAUGAAAUGUAAAAUGUACUUGAAAGCGGCAGAUUUGCCUCUCAUAAGAUCUGAAUAGAAUACUAAAAUCCAAAUAAAUAUAUCUCAUGUAUUACGGGUGAAAUAAGAAAAAUAAAAUUGUCUGCAGCACACUACUGUGGAAAGGGAUAGCAAUGCUAUGAUUAGGAUGCUGAGGGUUUUGUGGGUGCCAAAGAUACAUGUGGAAACAGUUUUUAUUUACUUAUAAAAUAAGUCAUUGGUUGUAAAUCCAACUCAAACUAAGAAACAUCCAUGUUCAAGUCAGCUGGGAACUUUAGCCAAUUAAAAAUGCUGUAAACCAACUCAUGGAACUGAUGUUUGCUUAUUGCGUUGAAAAAUGAAGAAACCCCAGACAAAAAAAGGUCAUCUCGGAUUGAAAACGUCCAACAAAAAGUAUUUAACAAAGUGAACGGCAUUCUGCUACGGAGCAAACAUGUCAGCUGAGUGCAAUCCACAGGCCACCGAGUAGCUCCAUGACGUAGUUGACGGUCUCUUGUUUCCACCAACGAUCCCCAAUCGCAGGACGCACACAGGUAUAUAUACAGAUAGAAAAUGGGUGUAUUCAUCCCAUUUGCCUGUUCAUUUUCAUUUUUUUCAUUUUUUUCUUUUCUUGAUGAUGGGAUUAUAGUUGGUGCGGAGAGCGGCGUCUCCGGAAAACGAAACCGCCGCUGCUGCAGUCAUUUAUAUCGGAGAGACGGAGACGGUAGUUGACGAUGGAGAGCGCUUUUUGCAUUGGAUGUUAAACAAACAGAGCCGCGACAUACAGCGGAGAACUGUGCAGAGGAAUUCACACAGAAUGUGUCACACAGAAGGGGGAUGAGUAGCAAACUUUAGGACUGAUCUGGCUAAGUUCGCUGCUCGGCUACUUCCAUCUCAACAUCUACCUUGAAAAGGACCACCACUGCUGCCCUAAAAGACAGUGGUUUGGAAAACAUUCUGGCUAAAGAGAGAUUGUUGGCACUUCAAACCCAGCCGUCAAAUGAUGGAGAGCACAGCAAAGUGCACGAGGACAGCGGGAAGAGCCGCUAGUUCGACAUGUUCCACUAUGUGGAAUUCUGCCGAUGAUCAUGUGUGCAGCUUUGUGUUUAAAAUACAAUUAAACAACAGUAUCUAAAAUAUACGCUUUCUGAAGUGAUUACUUGUUACUUAUAAGAUGUAGUUUUUAGAAGUAAAACAAACUUUUAAUCGUGAUUAAUUGCGUUGAAUGAAUUUCAAAAUGUGCGAUUAAUUAGUUAAUUUUUUUAAUCUAUUGACAGACCUUGUAACAAGCUUGACUCAAACCUUUUGAAAAGUUUACUUAAUGUGUUCUGAGAACAUAGCUUCAGCGUGGAGAGGGAAAAUUCUGUCACAUCGAGUCGUUCUUUCCUCACUGCGCAGUAAUUUGGAUUACCAUCUCCACCAUGUGGUAGUCUGUUGUUGUGUAUCAGCUACCUUUAACAUCUUUAUGACACCGUACUACAUUUAUGCUCGUAAAGUGAUUUUUAAAUACUCGCCUGACUAUACGGCAAAAGUAUUUAUGAAAAUACAAAGCCCUUUUAAGUCUGGCACCACCAUCACACAGCGUGUUCAGCAUCCAAAACCUCUGAUCAACAAUUUUAAGUGCAUCAGGAUCCAAACACAAUUCAAACUGCACAAAUUACUCUCCGCUCCUAAAAGGGUCUGAAUGAUAUGCUUUUAAGAAUAAUUAUUCUCAAAGGCAUACUUGAAGCAGAGUAAAAAAGAGAGGACGAGUGUCUGUAUGCCCCCGACCUUAGCUGUAUUAGCAUAAUUGAAUUUCAAACGAUCAGGGUAGUAUUGAGGAAAAGGGAAGCCAUUCGAAGAGUGUAAAUGGUCUGCAAUCUGCACACCUACCUAAUAUCAUCAUAGAGAAAAUGGAUGUGGUUGACUGGAAGGUUGAUGUGUCAGCCCUAAGUACAUUAAGUGAAAACACAAGAGAGGGUCAAAAGGUAAUACAGGUAAUCAAAUAAGUCCGUAAUCUUAACUUUUUUGUUACUUCUAAUGAAACUCUUCAAGUUCAUGUGAAGUACAAGCAGAGAAUCCACAGCACGUCUUUUUCACAUCCCACACUAAUUUAUAAACUUUCGUUAAUGAUCAAAUGCCAACAGAAUUUAAUUGUGAAUGUGAUCUGUUUUUAUUGAGCGCACUGACAACCAGAGGCACCUUUUACUGUUUAAGUUACAAACUUAUUUAAUGUCUGUAUUAAUAUAAGCAGUUUCAAAGGAGGAUGUAAAAAAACAAAAAAGCCGGUAAGAAGGAAGGAAGGAAGAUUGGACGGGAAAAUAUAUACAUACAGUUUGCUACCGACCGAUCGUUGAAGUUGGUCACCGAUGAUGACAAGGGUACCCUUACCAAAAUAGACAUUUGAAAACAAUCAUUAUAUUUCCCUAAACCUAAUCUUCUGUGCAUGGAUCUCACCAGACAUUUUCACGGCAUUCUCAGAUUAGAAAAAAAGAUUGGUUAGAGUGGUUUCUAACGCUUUUGAAAGGCAAAGAAACAUGGGUCCAUAGGGGCAUCAGUUAAAUAAGUGCGGAAUUUGGAAUUUUAAUUUGGACCUUUCACGGGCAAAAACUAAGCUAUGCUGUCCUUAAAGGAAAAACAAAUCAUAUUCAGAGCAUUGCAAUAACAGUAAAAAAGGAUUGGCUUGGUAAAGAUAUAGUGAAGUGAAUUCUUCCUGAGCAGAUAAUUAAGCCGCCCUUCCUCCUAUCCGUUUUGCUAAAUUCACAUCGCAGGGCUGACUGCAUCUGCUUUUUGUGCAUGUAGGUGCAGGUAGUCGCAUGUGGGCAUGCCCUACGGCUGGCUCACGACGGCAGGGAAGCGUAGCACCUGCCCUCUGAGGUGAACACUGUUAGCUCUGUUGUUCCGUUUGGCAUUAUUUGUUCUUUUAGCCCUGUUAACACUAUUAGCUAGGAGCUGACUGCUCGAUUGCUGCCAUGUUGAAAGCUGUCGAGAGGCAACCGACAUGUUCCCAAUCUUGUAUUAUGCACCUUGGAUUCAACCAACCUGUCAGUGGUGCGCCAUCACCAUGUCCACCUCCAUGUAAGCAGGGAGAUGUGAUGAAAUGGACAAUUUCUCACCUCUCUGUGUCAUCAUGAUGAACGACCAGAGAGGUUAGGGCAAGUUUCUCCCUGUGGAGCGGUGAGCUAUCACUCAAACAGGGUCUCCGCAGCCGAAAUGUACGUAAACAUGCACAUAAAAUCAGAUCCCUCAGCAGGUGGUAUUCUGUCCUUGGCAGAGGAACGAAAAGUCAAAUUGGCAUACAUUACAAUGAUGGCUACUUUCCUCGGGGACAGACUGUUUUUAGAUAUCUGUCACAAGUCGGAAGUCAGAGCCUGCCUUAGGAACCACCCUCUGACAGGGUUUGAUUUCUGCCUCGGAGGAGACUAGAUGCAAUCUUAGCACUCAAAACAGCUGACACUCACCUCAAAGCCACCUAUUAAGGAACGAAAGCUCUAAACUAUUGGUAGGAAACAGAAACCAUAUUUUUCCAAAAGCAUGCAAUCUAACUCUGUACUUCAUUUUCUACAACCUGUACACAGGAACAGCAUUUUAAUGAUUAACCUUUUCUUAACACAUUGUCACUUUCAAUCCUGGAGAAUGUUUGUAGGGAGGUCUGCUUUUUAAAGCUUCUCAUAAACAACAUAUGCUCACAGCAAUUAUGGUUACCCUGUAGGCAUAUAUAACCUUGAGUCUUCAAAGCAGAUGUUGGCAAAAAUAAGAGAGAUUGUAACAGCUUUGGAUGAAUGAUUCAUUGGCAUUUAUGAGUUCUUAUAUUGGUCAACGAUGUCUGCUGCUGUGAAAACUUAAAAAAAUAAAAUAAAAAUGUGCUUAUAUCGUUACACACUUUGUCCACCCACACAUUUUAUUUAAAAAAUGCAAAGUGCUGGUUUGGUACUCCGUGGGUAGAUCGGACAGAUGAUGCUAUGGGUCUGUUGGAAAAUGCCAAGGCAGAGGUAGCAGCUCUCACAUGUAUGGCCCGAAAUUGUCAGGGAAAGUGGGGUACUUUAUUUUUGUAUCUCUCACACUCUAAAAACAUGAAUAAGGGAAAUGUCUUUGCUGUUGGUGAAAACAUUUUACCAUCAGACUUUGAAGCUUUGCUAAAGAGUAAUUUGUACUUUGAAGUGCUACUAUGCAUACUUUAAUAUACAAAAAACACAUCUUUGUACAUUUUUUUUGUACAACUGGUGGCAGUUCGCCCGAAUAAUAAUAAUUACGAGCAGUAGCAGUAACAAAACGAAACAACAGCGCUGCAUACCGAGGGGGCAAAACUCCCGAAUCAAUAUAAAAAAACCCUCCUCUCAUCUGUCAGAAGCGAUCGCGCAUGCGUGGUGACCUGACGGGAUUUUUUUUUUUCCCAAUCGCAGGUGAUCUACCGACACCGGAAAUGCAAAUGGCUGUACACAACCACUGAAUCUUUCCUCUUAUGUCCUAUUGUCUCUAAAUGAUCAUGCAAAUAUCCUGAUGUUUAGCAAGUAUAAUCUUUUGCCAUCAUAGUUUGCCAGGUAAUCACGUUAAUUCGCACAAAACACAAAGUACAGCUGAAGCUGAUGGCAAUGAUUCUGUGUUAGACAAUACAUUCUUUGUUUGAUACACAUUAAUCCCGUCUAUUGAACUCUUAAUGUAUUUUUAUGGGUUGCUGCUCGUAGAAUUUUUUUGUAUUUCCAGAUCAUCAAGAUAACCUUGAGCAAAAUAACUUUACGCCAAUGUUUUUUCAGUGAGUACUAGUCCAGAUUGUUACAGCAGUCUCAUUAUAACACUUGAUUAUAUAGGAAUGUAAGCUUUCCCUGCACUAUACACCACAGAUCAAUGUGAAAAGAGGUUAUAAAAUGGUAAUCACAUAUCAUUCUAUUUUCCUUAUUGAGUUAAUUCAAGAAUAUAUGGUUCACCAGGUUGACUGAGUCUUGACUCUUUGGAGUUUCCAAAAGGUCACUUCAAGUAUUAUUAUAAUGUAAGUUGUUUAUUAAUCAUUAGGACAUUGUCAGUACAAUAAAAGUACUUUUUAUUAUUUACCUGAGUUUUCACUGUUUCCUGUUUUAUUGUGCCAAUCACCAUGUCUCCCUUUUGCUUCAGCUGUCUCAAUUGUGUCCACCUGUUGACUUACUCUCCCCUUGUGUACUUUAGUGGCGUUGUGUUGUUUGUUGCCAGUUGGUCUUUUGCUGUCGUCAAGUGUGCCAGCACCUUUUUCCCUAGGCCUUUAAUUCAAUAUUUUUUCCAAUCACGUCUACGAAUCUUGUAACAUUUUUGGAAUCAAUCUUCUAACAAUUUUGUGUACCAAACCUUGCCUGUCCUUGGCCACGUCUAAGGAAUAAAACCCAUCUGUGACUUUGACAUCCUUUCCAGAGUCGUGCUCUGGAAUUUCCAGUAAUCCAUUAUAUAGCAUUCAGAAAUGUGCACUCUUUAAAAAGGUACUGAGUAUAACAUUGGUUCUUCUAUUAGAACAAGCCAAAGAACCCAAGUCAACAACAGUCAACAAUUUAUUGAUACUUGUAACGUUCAAGCUCUACUAGUAUACUUUUAGUUGGAAUUUGAAAACGUUAGCAUGCUAACUAACAUGGUGGGUAUUACAAACAUGUUAAAAAUCUGCAUAACAUAGCGUUUAUGUUGUUACCUAAAUGCAGCCCCACACUGCCGCUGCUUGUCAACACUCUGACACACUAAGACCUGCACAAAAAAACUCUUUUAGUGCCAAAAUUACACCGUGGCUCAGAUAAUACUUUAAGAUAUCGUUUUUGCAGUACACCUUCAGAGAAUGUAGAUGCUUUGAGAGCAGUGCUUUUGGAGUUGUAGCUGUUCCACACUGAGCCACCAUUUCUUUUCACAAAUCCUUCCUAUGACACGUUUCAGCCUCAGGACUUUUACAUUAUUGAAUGUAACUACUUCAUGCUUCACUUGUAACCGUUUGUGCUCUACAGCUGAAACCAGACUAUAACAUGCUAGCUGAAUGUUUAUAUGUAUGUAUGUGUAUGUGUGAUGUUGGCUGCCUACUGUAUUUAUACUUUGUUUGUAAUGCCGUGUCAUUUGCAUUAGUUUUAUGUUUUAUUACAACCUGGAUUGUAUUUUCGUAACAUUCUCAACUGGCUAAUGCUGACUGUAAUAAGGCAAAAUUGCUGAGGAACUUUAAAAUGGAGUGUGGAAUGCAAAAAGUGAGACAGUCACGCAUGUUCCAAACAAACACCCAGAUACGGCAAAUAUAUUUCUCAAAGAAAGAAGAUGAUGAAUGCUAAAACUACUAUACCGACUGUCAGCAAUAGAUGCAAUAAAAAAAAAAAUACAUAUCAGGGGAUAAACAAAGUAAGUAGGACUCAUCUAGUUCAGUACGAACCAAAUUGGUGGGCCUGCCGCCCAACUGACCAACGUCUCCAUCCAUUGCAAUGCUAAAAUUGUAUCAAAAAACAACAAUUAAGCUCUGACGAAGUUUUGUGCAUUGAACGACAAAAUAUGCGAACAGCGUCUUCUGGCAGGUUAAACCUUAUUUACUUAGGACAUAAACACGUGUAGCAGAAUCCUAAGUGCUGCUUCCCAGCUGACAUUAGUUGUAAAGGUAAAGCUGAUUCCCAGCAGAGAGAUGUAGACAGACACUAUACAGACAUAAGGUUGUGAAUACACAGACAAAACCAUGUGUGUUUAUUAAAGACGCCUGCCGAGUGCGAAAAUAAAGGAUGUGUGUGACGUUUGCCUGUAUGUACAAGUAACUCCAUCUGAAGUUCUUUCUAAUCCUUCAGCCUAGUGAGCUCAGAGGUCCACUUGCAAAUGUUUGACUGGAUAUUGCAAUACAGCUCCGAAUCAACAACUAGACCGCUGUAAUUUCCUCUUCAAAGUGCCCCCACAGAGGAGAUUGUGACGGUUUUAACGGCAUUGACUUCAAAUUCAAUUUGGGUUCUACAUUCUUUACUCUCACAAUUUCAAAAGCACUGUCCGUGGGAGGCCGAGCUUCCGCUGAAGGUGACAAAUCUAAAGUGUACAAUAUAAGAUGACUCAUUUUGAUAUACAACUUAAGACUUCAUCUCCCGAGUCUAAUUUUGUUU